CCGACGAACGAAACCAAAUGGUCAGCAGCUUUCUUCGUGCACAUUUCGUAUUCAUGUUCGAAAAGUUAAUUCAAUAAUAACAGAUGCAAGAUGCACCGGGGGUUGAUUUCAUGCAGAUGCAAAUCGAAGUAAGGCAGGUCCCAGGUAAAUAAGAUUGAUCUGGACAUUGCACAUUUUUAGCAAACAAGUAUAGCAUCCCAGGUGGUGGUGCAGCUCUGACAACCCUUUCUCCUCUCCUUCUCUCUCAAGAUCAAUGUCCAACAACGGGUUGUGAAGUUGUGAAUCUUGUGAAUUGCUAUUUUAUUACGCUCGUGAUGAUCCUAGUUCAACGCUCAGGAUCAGUUCUCAUAAUCUUUCGCUUUCCUUGCCUGUGCAAGUUUUUGAUCAUCUGCUAUAAUAGUACAAGUACAGGAAAAGGAGGAAGGAGUAACCAACUAUAAAGUUCAAUUAACUCGGUCGGGUUGGUUUAUAAGAGUGGGUAUUGCAGGGAGUUGACAAUGCGUGGAAAAUAUUAUACGAUUGGCGUUAUCAAGUCAAAUAAUAAAAACAAACCCGUCCCAGCUCAACUCUGUAUCAUCACAUCGCAUAAGGAACGAGCAGCAGCCCCACGGACCAAUUUAUUUUGAUACUCUGAUAAAAAUUAUAUAGUCUCGUCUCUCCUCCGUCUAGACUGUUCAAUGCCAACUUUGACUGUUCCAUCCAUCCACCAACACUAAUUUCUAUGUGUUCACCCAUCGAUUUCACGAGCACAAGUAAAGCAUUUAAAAGUAUGAGCACACAAAUUAAGUCGUGAAUGACAAAUGAAUCAUGAGUCGUUAAUUUGUUGGGUGAUUUGAUUUAAGCUCAUGAGCGGAGCUUCGGUUUAUGAGUGAGCUUCAGCUGGAUUUGAUUUUUUGCAACAAAAUUGUGCGGAAAUACAUGUAUUUAUGUAGAUAAUAAAAAUCCGUAUUUCCAGCAA